GGUAACCUGGGAUGUAAUUAAUACUGAAUUUCCAUUUGGCGUUUACUGUACUAAACAUGUUCCGUAGGUCUGUGAGGAAAAUAUCAAUUUUAGAUUUAAAUAAUAUUAACUAAGAGAAAUUUCAGUUCAUGUUUUCAUCAAAUAUAUUUCCCUUUCUUUGUCUUCGAACAGAAACUAGAAGUAGACUUAAUGCUGGAUUUUCUCCAUUUUAAGCCUGGUACUCAAAGGUAUUAAAUUAUUUUUCUCUUCUACUGAGGAGCCAGAUGUACCAAUAUCUUUAAUAGGACUAAGCCUCAUUUUUUUCAUGUUUUACCUAAACUUUAUCGAACUUUGAACAAGGAAAGAACAUCAUGAUUUAGAAGUGAGGGCUUAGUUCUUUGACACAGAUUGCAUCCCCACCUCCACUGCGUUUAAUCUUGAGCCUUGAAACCUGACAAAGAGAUGGUAUCAAAGCACAUAAAUUGCCACAGUGUGUAUUAUAUGACUGCGCACUCAUUGGACAAUAAAUUUGGAAGAAUUUGCUCUCACAUUUAAAUGCAAUCUAAAUAAAUAUAUCCUUACACAAUUCCUACCUAGACAUAUAGAAGUAAUUACUUGCACAUAAUCCGUGUGAGCCUUGAAAAGUACUGCAAGACAAUGCAGUGGAGAUACAACAACCUAUGGAGAUAAAUUUGCUUACAGAUACAUAAGCAAUACUUGCAUACAUACUUGCAAACAUAGCCCAGACAACACUAAUGUAACUAAACAAUUGGCCUCUACAAGCUUGAUCUGCUCAGUAGCUUAACCUAAAGGAGCCAGCUCCCAGUUUGCUCAUUUCUUGAAGGAAUUGUGCAGGUUCUGCAUGACUCCUGUUUUUCCAAUCUUGGAUAUGAAUUUUGCUAGCUUUGAAAACGUUUUAGGGCUUACACAGAAAUAUGUAAAAUGUCAGCUUGAAAAUUUUAAUUGACUUAUUAGCAAUAUCUCUUCUUUGAAUGACCUUUUAGUCCUCCUUUUAACGUAUCACCUACUUUUACUACCUUCUGGCUGACAGUUUUUAAUAUAUUCCUUCCUAGUGGAUGAUAUCAUCUGUCCUUGGAUGGAAUUAACUAAAGCACUACACAUUUAAAAGCUGACAUUAAUCCAUAUCCACAGAUUUUUAACAGCUGCUGGGAUAAAUAUUGUGUUUCCAUGCAUUAGGCUUUAUAUAACAAUGACUAGUAGAAAUAAAUUGAGAUUAAAUAUACACUGGCAACAUCAAAGCCAAGGAGAAAAAA
rnacentral:lncRNA from 1 species